rnacentral:rRNA from 1 species
AUUGAACGCUGGCGGCAUGCCUUACACAUGCAAGUCGAACGGCAGCACGGGAGCAAUCCUGGUGGCGAGUGGCGAACGGGUGAGUAAUAUAUCGGAACGUGCCCAGUCGUGGGGAUAACGUAGCGAAAGCUACGCUAAUACCGCAUACGAUCUAUGGAUGAAAGCGGGGGAUCGCAAGACCUCGCGCGAUUGGAGCGGCCGAUAUCAGAUUAGGUAGUUGGUGAGGUAAAGGCUCACCAAGCCGACGAUCUGUAGCUGGUCUGAGAGGACGACCAGCCACACUGGGACUGAGACACGGCCCAGACUCCUACGGGAGGCAGCAGUGGGGAAUUUUGGACAAUGGGCGCAAGCCUGAUCCAGCAAUGCCGCGUGCAGGAUGAAGGCCUCGGUGUAACUGCUUGUACGGUAACGGAAACGGUAGGGCGUC